UACGUAGGUGGCAAGCGUUGUCCGGAUUUAUUGGGUUUAAAGGGUGCGUAGGCGGCCCCGCAAGUCAGUGGUGAAAUACGGCAGCUCAACUGCCGAGGUGCCAUUGAUACUUCGGGGCUUGGGUUCAGUCGGGGCAGGCGGAAUUGACGGUGUAGCGGUGAAAUGCAUAGAUAUCGUCAAGAACACCGAUAGCGGAGGCAGCUUGCUAGACUUCGACCGACGCUGAGGCACGAAAGUGCGGGGAUCAAACAGG
rnacentral:rRNA from 1 species